UACGAAGGGGGCUAGCGUUGCUCGGAAUCACUGGGCGUAAAGGGUGCGUAGGCGGGUCUUUAAGUCAGGGGUGAAAUCCUGGAGCUCAACUCCAGAACUGCCUUUGAUACUGAAGAUCUUGAGUUCGGGAGAGGUGAGUGGAACUGCGAGUGUAGAGGUGAAAUUCGUAGAUAUCGGGAGGAACACCAGUGGCGAAGGCGGCUCUCUGGGCAGAUACUGACGCUGAGACGCGAAAGCAUGGGGAGCAAACAGG
rnacentral:rRNA from 1 species